rnacentral:rRNA from 1 species
AUUGAACGCUGGCGGAAUGCUUUACACAUGCAAGUCGAACGGCAGCACGGACUUCGGUCUGGUGGCGAGUGGCGAACGGGUGAGUAACAUAUCGGAACGUAUCCAAUAAUGGGGGAUAACUAAUCGAAAGGUUGGCUAAUACCGCAUACGCCCUACGGGGGGAAGCAGGGGAUCUUCGGACCUUGCGUUAAUGGAGCGGCUGAUAUCUGAUUAGCUAGUUGGUGAGGUAAAGGCUCACCAAGGCGACGAUCAGUAGCUGGUCUGAGAGGACGACCAGCCAGACGGGAACAGAGACACGGUCCAGACUCCUACGGGAGGCAGCAGUGGGGAAUUUUGGACAAUGGGCUCAAGGCUGAUCCAGCCAUUCCGCGUGAGUGAAGAAGGCCUUCGGGUUGUAAAGCUCUUUCGCAAGGGAAGAAAACUUACUUUCUAAUAAAGAGUGAGGUUGACGGUACCUUGAUAAGAAGCACCGGCUAACUACGUGCCAGCCGCCGCAGUAA